GUUGCCCCUUGAGGCGUUGCAGUACGACCUGUGUCGCUCCUGUGUCAUAAGGUGGCAUAUAAUAAAGGUCUGUGUUUACGCCUAGUUCCCUCCUGUGGGUUCUCAGUGUCUUUAUAGUCCUACAAA